rnacentral:lncRNA from 1 species
AUCCAACGGCUGAGAUCAGAUCAACCAAUCUUUCCUUUUAAACAAAAUAUCAAACCCUAUCCUCAUUUUCUCUCUCAAACAUCCGCCUCCCUCCCUUAGACUCUCUCUCUCUCUAAGACUCACCAUAACAAACACAUUUUGCUUCCCCUCUCUCCUCCCUUGCCGCCUCACCCCAUUUUCGAUGAAACCAUGCCGGCGAAGCCCCUCAAGCCACCGCUGGCAGUUCCCUUCAUUCGCGACGAACAACCACUGAUGAGCUAGCCUCCGACGCCAGACGAACCAGCCUCCGCACCACCAACCACCAGUCACCAGUCAACGCUGCAACCAUCGACCAGAGCCAGACCCUUGGUGGACAAGUAUUUAUUCAAUCUCUAUUCAAUAGUUAUAAGUCAAUAUAGUAUAUAAAUUCUUGUGGUUGUCCAUGAUAAGUGUUAUACCUUAAGCUUGAAUUGUGAUUGAAAAUACAAGGAAGAUUAUUAGGAUUGUAGUGCUAGUACAUCGAACUUAUCUAGUAGAUUGACUUAACCUAUGCAUGAAUUUAUGUUUAGUACCUUGCUAGUUAAUGUGGUAGUGAGGAUCUGAGGUGUGUCUUGUUUCUAUAUGGAGUAGGUAGUUGUGGAUUUAUACUUUAGGUGAAAAUUUUUAAGGAAUGCCAAGUGGAGUCUCGUGUAUUAUCAGUUGAGUAACAUAUUUGUUGUAACGCUUGGUAAAGUGUAUUUAUAUGUAUUCUGGUUAGCUGACAGCUUUGCGAUAGGCCUAUUUACAAAGGAAAUUCUGGCAAAUUUUUUUGAAAAUUUUGAGAGUUACCAAAAUUUUAGGACCACAUAAUGGAUAAAAUGAAGUGGAAGUUAAGUAAAUGAUCUCAUGAGUGUCUUAGAUAAUUAUAGGAGUCAAAAAAGUUAUAAGCAUCAUUCGAGGACGAAAAUGAUUUAAUGUAGUUUUUGAAAGGUGAACUUGUGUUUUCAAAUUUGUAAAGAGUAAUCACUUGAGAAUGUGAAUUCAUGACUUGAAAUUGGUUUAGUGUUCAUACUUGAAAUGUGAAUUCAUGACUUGAAAAUGGUUAAGUUUAGUCUCUUGAGAAGUGAAUUAGAGAGCUGAAAAUAGUUAAGUAUAGUGUUUUGAAAUGUGUACUAGUCACUUAAAAAGUGGAUUAGCGACUUGAAAAUGGUUUAAUGUAGUUCUUGAAUGGUGAACUUGUGUUUUGAAAUUUGUAAAGUGUAAUAUCACUUGAAAAUGUGAAUUCAUGACUUGAAAAUGGUUAAGUUUAGUCACUUGAGAAGUGAAUUAGAGAGUUGAAAAUGAUUUAAGUGUUGUGUUUUGAAAUGUGUACUAGUCACUUGAGAAGUGUAUUAGCGAUUUGAAAAUGAUUCAAUGUAGUUCUUGAAUGGUGAACUUGUGUUUUGAAAUUUGUAAAGUGUAAUAUCACUUGAAAAUGUGAAUUCAUGACUUGAAAUUGGUUUAGUUUUGAUACUUGAAAUGAGAAUUCAUGACUUGAAAAUGGUUUAGUUUAGUUACUUGAGAAGUGAAUUAGAGAGUUGAAAAUGGUUAAGUGUAGUGUUUUGAAAUGUGUACUAGUCACUUGAGAAGUGUAUUAGCGACUUGAAAAUGGUUUAAUGUAGUUCUUGAAUGGUGAACUUGUGUUUUGAAAUUUUUAAAGUGUAAUCACUUAAGAAUGUGAAUUCAUGACUUGAAAUUGGUUUAGUUUUGAUACUUGAAAUGAGAAUUCAUGACUUGAAAAUGGUUUAGUUUAGUUACUUGAGAAGUGAAUUAGAGAGUUGAAAAUGGUUAAGUAUAGUGUUUUGAAAUGUGUACUAGUCACUUAAAAAGUGGAUUAGCUACUUGAAAAUGGUUUAAUGUAGUUCUUGAAAGGUGAACUUGUAUUUUGAAAUUUGUAAAGUGUGAUAUCACUUGAAAAUGUAAAUUCAUCACUUGAAAUUGGUUUAGUGUUGAUACUUUAAAUGUGAAUUUAUGACUUGAAAAUGGUUAAGUUUAAACACUUGAGAAGUGAAUUAGAGAGUUAAAAAUGGUUUAAGUGUAGUGUUUUGAAAAGUGUACUAGUCACUUGAGAAGUGUAUUAGCGACUUGAAAAUGGUUUAAUGUAGUUCUUGAAUGGUGAACUUGUGUUUUGAAAUUUGUAAAGUGUAAUNNNNNNNNNNNNNNNNNNNNNNNNNNNNNNNNNNNNNNNNNNNNNNGGUUUAGUGUUGAUACUUGAAAUGUGAAUUCAUGACUUGAAAAUAGUUAAGUUUAGUCACUUGAGAAGUGAAUUAGAGAGUUGAAAAUGGUUAAGUGUAGUAUUUUGAAAUAUGUACUAGUCACUUGAAAAGUGGAUUAGCGACUUGAAAAUGGUUUAAUGUAGUUCUUGAAAGGUGAACUUGUAUUUUGAAAUUUAUAAAGUGUGAUAUCACUUGAAAAUGUGAAUUCAUGACUUGAAAUUGGUUUAGUGUUGAUACUUGAAAUGUGAAUUCAUGACUUGAAAAUGGUUAAGUUUAGUCAUUUGAGAAGUGAAUUAGAGAGUUGAAAAUGGUUAAGUGUAGUGUUUUGAAAUGUGUACUAGUCACUUAAAAAGUGAAUUAGUGACUUGAAAAUGGUUUAAUGUAGUUCUUGAAAGGUGAACUUGUGUUUUUAAAUUUGUAAAGUGUAAUCACUUAAAAAUGUGAAUUCAUGACUUGAAAUUGGUUUAGUGUUGAUACUUGAAAUGUGAAUUCAUGACUUGUAAUUGGUCUAGUGUUGAUACUUGUAAUGUGAAUUAGUGACUUGAAAAUGGUUUAGUGUAGUUACUUGAAAUAUGAACUUGUGUUUUGAAAUUAGUAAAGUGUAAUCAUUUGAAAAUGUGAAUUCAAGACUUGAAAUUGGUGCACCUCCUCCUGUAGAAGAAGAUAUUGAUGCAGAUUUGAUUGGUCUAAUUCCUGGAGAUACAAAUAUGUUUGGUAGAGUGUUUAUCGAGCCUGAUGGAUCUUUGU